AUUGAACGCUGGCGGCAUGCCUUACACAUGCAAGUCGAACGGCAACAGGUCUUUGGAUGCCGACGAGUGGCGAACGGGUGAGUAAUACAUCGGAACGUGCCUAGUAGUGGGGGAUAACUACUCGAAAGAGUGGCUAAUACCGCAUGAGAUCUACGGAUGAAAGCAGGGGAUCGCAAGACCUUGUGCUACUAGAGCGGCCGAUGGCAGAUUAGGUAGUUGGUGGGAUAAAAGCUUACCAAGCCGACGAUCUGUAGCUGGUCUGAGAGGACGAUCAGCCACACUGGGACUGAGACACGGCCCAGACUCCUACGGGAGGCAGCAGUGGGGAAUUUUGGACAAUGGGCGAAAGCCUGAUCCAGCAAUGCCGCGUGCAGGAUGAAGGCCUUCGGGUUGUAAACUGCCUUUGUACGGAACGAAAAGCCCCGGGUUAAUACCCUGGGGUCAUGACGGUACCGUAAGAAUAAGCACCGGCUAACUACGUGCCAGCCGCCGCCGUAA
rnacentral:rRNA from 1 species